ensembl:lncRNA
CGGACGGUAGGGGCGACGGCUCGCGCAUGCGCGUCGGCCCUGCCGCACGUGCGUGCCUCGCGCCGCGCCUUUUCGCUCCGCCGUGUUCUGCCCAGCAACGGCUCCGCUAUUGGCUCAACUCCCGACCAAUCGCAGCGCGGCGGGAACUUAGGCGGGAAGGUCGCGCAGGAGGUGCUGGUGGAUGCUGAGGGAGAUAUCUCGCACGUUGCUUGCAUCUACCGUGGGAGGGAAGGCUGAAGAGGUGAAGGCUGGUGCUCAAGACUAGGAAAAGCACCGAAGGCGGAGAGAAGAACGUACUACUUAGUGCAGACAUCUGUCAGAUGGGACGUUUCACCCCCCUGGUGCCACACUUCCCCUCCUGCAGGGGGAGGACAACAACCUGUUGGGAUUCCCACAGGAAAGGGGCUGCGGAAGCGCCUCGUUAUCCUGAUGUAGAACAAUGCAGGCCAUCUCUGAACUGCCUACGCUGGGCCUGGAGACAGCAGCCCCCUCUUCCUCCUGCCCUGCACUGCUGAGGAGCAUUCCUCUGUCUGAUAAACAAGUUGUCUUGCUCUGUUCCGGUGGUAGCUGCCUUGUUUGGGCGUCUCGUCUGGAGAAGGCAUCAGCAGCACUGCAGGAUGAAAGGGGACACGAAGCAGUAGGAUGGACUCAUCCGCCACAAUACUUAACGUUUAAAGAAGAGCACUAUCUGCUGCGGGGUGAGCCCGAGCCCGGGGAUCAGGGUACAAUCUUCCCUCAGAAGUGAGCAAGCAUUACCGGGUGUGCUGGCUGCUGCCGGGCACCGCUGAAUGAGGAGCCGGAGCUGACAGCGUGCUAUUACACCCUGUCCAGCUCAGCCCUGCAGCCCUCAGGACAGGAGGCGCUCACCCAGCUUCAAAGCCACACGGCUCCAAUGCAGAGCCGGCAUAGGCGUGUUCGCAGCGGCGCAUUUCAUCUUUGAAGAAACUCACUAAAGACUUUAAAGGCUGUAAAAUCUCCAGGCUGAUCGGAAUACGGGAUUGGAAUACAGCAACGUAGCAGGCACGCCACAAAGCUGCCCCGGGCUCUGGCACGACCACCUACCUGUUGUCCGUGCGAUGGCAGCCACCCGGCCAGCGCUGAGGCGUGCUGCUUGGCUCCCUGCUCCUACAGAGGGGCAGAGGCUCGCUUCUUAACCCCACUUGGGCCGAGCCCAGGACCGAGAGGUGUCUGUGCCGGGGGCAGAGGAGCCUCCCGCUUGCUGCAGAGGCAGGAGCUGCUGUCCCGUCC